rnacentral:rRNA from 1 species
ACCCGCUGAACUUAAGCAUAUCAAUAAGCGGAGGAAAAGAAACCAACAGGGAUUGCCUCAGUAACGGCGAGUGAAGCGGCAAGAGCUCAAAUUUGAAAUCUGGCCCCUUCGGGGUCCGAGUUGUAAUUUGUAGAGGAUGCUUCGGGUGCGGCCCCCGUCUAAGUGCUCUGGAACGGGCCAUCGGAGAGGGUGAGAAUCCCGUCUGGGACGGGGUGUCCGCGUCCAUGUGAAGCUCCUUCGACGAGUCGAGUUGUUUGGGAAUGCAGCUCUAAAUGGGUGGUAAAUUUCAUCUAAAGCUAAAUACUGGCCGGAGACCGAUAGCGCACAAGUAGAGUGAUCGAAAGAUGAAAAGCACUUUGAAAAGAGAGUUAAACAGCACGUGAAAUUGUUGAAAGGGAAGCGCUUGCGACCAGACUCGCUUCCGGGGUUCAGCCGGCUUUCGGGCCGGUGUACUUCCCCGGGGGCGGGCCAGCGUCGGUUUGGGCGGCCGGUCAAAGGCCCCUGGAAUGUAACGCCCCUCGGGGCGCCUUAUAGCCAGGGGUGUCAUGCGGCCAGCCUGGACCGAGGAACGCGCUUCGGCACGGACGCUGGCAUAAUGGUCGUAAACGACCCGUCUUGAAACACGGACC